CUACUAGGGUAUCUAAUCCUGUUUGCUCCCCCAGCUUUCGCGCCUCAGCGUCAGGAAUCGUCCAGAGAGCCGCCUUCGCCGCCGGUGUUCUUCCUGAUAUCUACGCAUUCCACCGCUACACCAGGAAUUCCGCUCUCCUCUCCGAUCCUCAAGACCCGCAGUUUCAGAAGCAGGCUCGGAGUUGAGCCCCGAGUUUUCACUCCCGACUUACAGGUCCGCCUACGCGCCCUUUACGCCCAGUGAUUCCGAACAACGUUUGCACCCUCCGUCUUACCGCGGCUGCUGGCAC
rnacentral:rRNA from 1 species